rnacentral:rRNA from 1 species
GAUGAACGCUGGCGGCGUGCCUAAUACAUGCAAGUCGAGCGAACAGACGAGGAGCUUGCUCCUCUGACGUUAGCGGCGGACGGGUGAGUAACACGUGGAUAACCUACCUAUAAGACUGGGAUAACUUCGGGAAACCGGAGCUAAUACCGGAUAAUAUAUUGAACCGCAUGGUUCAAUAGUGAAAGACGGUUUUGCUGUCACUUAUAGAUGGAUCCGCGCCGCAUUAGCUAGUUGGUAAGGUAACGGCUUACCAAGGCAACGAUGCGUAGCCGACCUGAGAGGGGGAACGGCCACACUGGAACUGAGACACGGUCCAGACUCCUACGGGAGGCAGGAGUAGGGAAUCCUCCGCAAUGGGCGGAAGCCUGACGGAGCAACGGCGCGUGAGUGAAGAAGGUCUUCGGAUCGGAAAACUCUGUUAUUAGGGAAGAACAAAUGUGUAAGUAACUAUGCACGUCUUGACGGUACCUAAUCAGAAAGCCACGGCUAACUACGUG